rnacentral:rRNA from 1 species
AGUUAGUAAAAAAUGCGAAAGAACUAACAACGACUCCCUAGUACGGCGAGUGACGCGGGUCGAGCUCACAUUUAAAUCCGGCAGGUUAGCUUGUCCGAAUUGCAUCUCGACAAGUGUUUUCCGCGUUGGCCUGUGCACGGUCCCUUGGUACAGGGCGUCAUAGCGGGUGAUACUCCCGCCCUUGACUCACACCCCCAAUGCUUUGUGAUACACUCUCAGGAUGGACUGGCCCCCGAAUGAAGCCCUAAAAGGGUGGUAAAUUCCUCUCCGCCAAAAUACUGCCGGCAGAACGAUCUCGACGCACUACUGUGAUGGAAAUAUGAAAAGCUUUUUUUAAAGAGAAUCAUAUUUUACGUGAAAGUGUUGAAAGGGAAACGAUUGAAGUCAGUCGUGCCCUGCCUAGCAUCAGCCUCCUGGUGUAUUUUCUCCGCCGGUAGGGCAGCAUCAGUUUGGGGGGGUUAACAAGGGACCUGGCAAUGUGGCAACCUCGGCUGUGCUAUAGCCCGGUUUCUUAUUGAUCUCCCUGGACUGAGGAACGCAGUGCGCCCGCAAAGCUUGUGUCUUCGGACUCAUUCACUACUUCUGAUGCUGGCAUAAUGGCUUUAAACGACCGCCACUUGGGACACGGACCUAGGACGUCUAUCAUGUUUGCGAGUCUUUGGGUGUCAAAACCCACGGGCGUACUUAAUGUAAAUGCAGGUCGGAUACGCAAGCAUCAACAUCUACCGAUCUGGAUCAUUUAUGUGAUGGAUUUGACUAAAAGCACAUAUGUUGGGACCCGAAAGAUGGUGAACUAUGCCUGAAUAGGGCGACUCCAAGGAAACUCUGGUGGAGGCUCGUAGCCAUUCUGACGUGCAAUCAAUCGUCAAUUUGGGUAUAGGGCGUAAAGACUAUCGAACCAUCUUAGUACUGGGUCCUGCCGAGUU